rnacentral:lncRNA from 1 species
AUUUCCUUAAGAAAUUCUGCUGACAUCAUUGACUUUUCUCAGAUUCCUUUCCUUCGGGCUCCCUCUCCUCUCACUUUCUCCUUUCUCUAGUUCAUUCAGGACCCCGAGUUGGCUGUUAAUUCCUUGUUCUGUUAUGACAACAUCUAAAAAGAAGUCUGCAUAUAUUGAUCUUUGCAGGUUCAGCCUAGCCAGAUAUGGAGAGACUUAUCACCUGAUAAUGUUGGAAAUGUGACCUUUGACUUGGCUAUCUGCACUCUAAAUGUGAGACACAUAUCCAAUAACCAUUAUAUGGUUAUACUCAUGGUAUAGCUGUAUCAUAU